rnacentral:rRNA from 1 species
GAUGAACGCUGGCGGCGUGCCUAAUACAUGCAAGUCGAGCGAACAGACGAGGAGCUUGCUCCUCUAACGUUAGCGGCGGACGGGUGAGUAACACGUGGAUAACCUACCUAUAAGACUGGGAUAACUUCGGGAAACCGGAGCUAAUACCGGAUAAUAUAUUGAACCGCAUGGUUCAAUAGUGAAAGACGGUUUUGCUGUCACUUAUAGAUGGAUCCGCGCCGCAUUAGCUAGUUGGUAAGGUAACGGCUUACCAAGGCAACGAUGCGUAGCCGACCUGAGAGGGUGAUCGGCCACACUGGAACUGAGACACGGUCCAGACUCCUACGGGAGGCAGCAGUAGGGAAUCUUCGGCAAUGGGCGAAAGCCUGACGGAGCAACGCCGCGUGAGUGAUGAAGGUCUUCGGAUCGUAAAACUCUGUUAUUAGGGAAGAACAAAUGUGUAAGUAACUAUGCACGUCUUGACGGUACCUAAUCAGAAAGCCACGGCUAACUACGAG